rnacentral:rRNA from 1 species
GAUGAACGCUGGCGGCGUGCCUAAUACAUGCAAGUCGAGCGAACAGACGAGGAGCUUGCUCCUCUGACGUUAGCGGCGGACGGGUGAGUAACACGUGGAUAACCUACCUAUAAGACUGGGAUAACUUCGGGAAACCGGAGCUAAUACCGGAUAAUAUAUUGAACCGCAUGGUUCAAUAGUGAAAGACGGUUUUGCUGUCUCUUAUAGAUGGAUCCGCGCCGCAUUAGCUAGUUGGUAAGGUAACGGCUUACCAAGGCAACGAUGCGUAGCCGACCUGAGAGGGUGAUCGGCCACACUGGAACUGAGACACGGUCCAGACUCCUACGGGAGGCUGCAGUAGGGAAUCUUCCGCAAUGGGCGAAAGCUUGACGGAGCAACGCCGCGUGAGUGAUGAAGGUCUUCGGAUCGUAAAACUCUGUUAUUAGGGAAGAACAAAUGUGUAAGUAACUAUGCACGUCUUGACGGUACCUAAUCAGAAAGCCACGGCUAACUACGUG